ACUCUCGAAAACGGAUAUCUCGGCUCUUGUUAUGAUGAAGAACAUAGCGAAAUGUGAUACUUAGUGUGAAUUGCAGAAUCCCGUGAAUCAUCGAGUUUUUGAACACAAUUUGCGCCCGAGGCCUCCUUCGAGGUCACGUCUGUCUGGGUGUCACAUCCCAUUAAAAUGCGCUCCAUGAAAUAUGCUAGGGAGCAGUGGAGCUGGUCAUCUGUGCCCAUCGUGGUGCGGUUGGCUGAAAUACCUCAAGCGAUGUUUCGUGGCGUGUGUCGGCGAGCGGUGAUCUUGUCCCCUUGGAUGGGCAGUCGGUGUUAGCUGAUCUGGGCUUUGUGUCACAUCGCUCGAACUUGCUUUGCUCUCUCUUGCCCUCCCAUCAGGUAGGGCAGAUUUAGCUCCAACUUUGCAACAUCAGCUCAGGCGAGAACACCUGCUGAGUUUAAGCAUAUAAUUAAGUGGAGGAAAAUAAACUUACAAGGAUUCCCCUAGUAGUGGCGAGUGAACCGAGAAGAGCCCAGCAUGAAAAUCGGGUGGCAGCGUCGCAUGAAUUGUAGUCUGUAGAAGCGUACUCCGCGGCGGACCUGGGCCAAGUCCCUUAGAAGGGGGCGCCUGGGAGGGUGACAGCCCCGUCGGCACGGGACCCUGCAGCCCUAAUUGGGUGGUAAAUUCCAUCCAAGGCUAAAUACAGGCGAGAGACCGAUAGCGAACAAGUACCGUGAGGGAAAGAUGAAAAGUACUUUGAAAAGAGAGUUAAAGAGUGCUUGAAAUUGCUAGGAGGGAAGCGAAUGGAGAAUGUCGAUGCAUCUCGGUCAGAUGCAUCGACCGUCGGAGAAAUUUCCUGGCUCCGAUGAGUAGGAGGACGUAGGGGUUUUUGAGAAACCUCAGGCGUGAGCUUGGGUGGAGCGGCCCCUGGUGCAGAUCUUGGUGGUAGUAGCAAAUAUUCAAAUGAGAACUUUGAAGACUGAAAUGGGGAAAGGUUCUAUGUGAACAGCAAUUGGACAUGGGUUAGUCGAUCCUAAGAGAUGGGGAAGCCUUGUAUCAAGGGUACACUCUGCAUGAGCAUCAAAAGGGGAUCAGGUUAAUAUUCCUGAACCGAAACAUGGCAGCGGGUGGCAACGUUAGGAAAUCCGGAGACAUCAUCAGGGGCCCCAGGAAGAGUUAUCUUUUUUUUUAACAGCUUGCCCACCCUAGAAUCGGUUCACCCAGAGAUAGGGUCCAAUAGUUGGAAGAGCACCACACGUCUUGCGAUUUCUGGUGCACCCUAGGAAACCCUUGAAAAUAUGGAGGACCGAGUACCGUUCAUGCCCGGUCAUACUCAUAACCGCCUCAGGUUUCCAAGGUGAACAACCUCUGGUCAAUAGAACAAUGUAGGUAAGGGAAGUCAGCAAAACGGAUCUGUAACUUCGGGAAAAGGAUUGGAUCUGAGGGCUGGACCUAGGGGUCUGCACCCUCAACUCAUGGACUAUCGGCAGUCUGCCCGAGCUACUCUUGUGGCGAGGGCGCGUAGUCGUGUGCCGAUUGGGCUACGAGCGUAGAAUGCCCCCUGUCGGGGGCUUUUUUGUAGGCAUCAAACAGUUGACUCAAAACUGGUACGGACAAGGGGAAUCUGACUGUUUAAUUAAAACAAAACAUUACGAUGGUCCCUGCGGAUGCUGACACAAUGUGAUUUCUACCCAGUGCUCUGAAUGUCAAAGUAAAGAAACUCAACCAAGCGCGGGUAAACGGUGGGAGUAACUAUGACUCUCUUAAGGUAGACAAAUGCCUCGUCAUCUAAUUAGUGACGCGCAUGAGUGGAUUAAGGAGAUUCCCACUGUCCCUAUCUACUAUCUAGCGAAACCAUAGCCAAGGGAACGGGCUUGGUAGAAUCAGCGGGGAAAGAAGACCUUGUUGAGCUUGACUCUAGUCCGACUUUGUGAAAUGACUUGAGAGGUGUAGAAUAAGUGGGAGUUGUUUUUGGCGCAAGUGAAAUACCACUACUUUUAAUGUUAUUUUACUUAUUUCGAGGGGCAGAGAUGGGGUACUGCCCUUGUUUUUGGCCUCAAGGCACGUUUAGACCGGUCGAUCUGGGUGGAAGACAUUGUCAGGUGGGGAGUUUGGCUGGGGCGACACAUCUGUUAAAAGAUAACGCAGGUGUCCUAAGAUGAGCUCAACGAGAACAUAAAUAUCAUGUGGAACAAAAGGGUAAAAGCUCACUUGAUUUUGAUUUUCAGUACGAAGACAAACCGUGAAAGCAUGGUCUAUCGAUCCUUUAGAUUUUCAGAAUUUGAAGCUAGAGGUGUCAGAAAAGUUACCACAGGGAUAACUUGCUUGUGGCACCCAAGCGUUCAUAGCGACAUUGAUUUUUGAUCCUUCGAUGUCGGCUCUUCCUAUCAUUGUGAAGCAGAAUUCACCAAGUGUUGGAUUGUCCAACCACCAAUAGGGAACGUGAGCUGGGUUUAGACCGUUGUGAGAUAGGUUAGUUUUACCCUACUGAUGAACCACACCACAAUAGUAAUUCAACUUAGAAUGAGAGGAACCAUUGAUUCACACAAUUGGUCAUCACGCUUGGUUGAAAAGCCAGUGCCACGAAGCUACCGUGUGUCGGCUUAUGAUUGAAUGCCUUUAAGUCAGAAUCCACACUAGAAGCGGUGCAUGUGACUCUUCGACUGUAUCUUGACUUGCAGUAGGGGCGUCGCUUUGUCGCCCCCAGGGGCCCGUAUCAUUUUCAAACCGUGACCGUGAAGCAUCUCGGUCAGGGCAGCUUUGAAGUUAAAUUCCAAACAGUCGUUGAGAAGAAUCCUUUGCAGACAACUUAAAUAUGCGACGGGGUAUUGUAAGUGGAAGAGUGGCCUUGCUGCCACGAUCCACUGAGAUUCAGCCCUUGGUCGCCU
rnacentral:rRNA from 1 species